rnacentral:rRNA from 1 species
UACGUAGGGUGCGAGCGUUGUCCGGAAUUACUGGGCGUAAAGAGCUCGUAGGUGGUUUGUCGCGUUGUCCGUGAAAACUCACAACUCAAUUGUGGGCGUGCGGGCGAUACGGGCAGACUGGAGUACUGCAGGGGAGACUGGAAUUCCUGGUGUAGCGGUGGAAUGCGCAGAUAUCGGGAGGAACACCGGUGGCGAAGGCGGGUCUCUGGGCAGUAACUGACGCUGAGGAGCGAAAGCGUGGGGAGCGAACAGG